ensembl:lncRNA
CCUCUUACUGCUACUACUUUAUGCUGUAUUUGUGUGCACUGCAGGGGUGCUCAGGUGCCAGACUGCUGCUGGUAUUCGUGCUGUUUUGUCCGCAGUGGAGCACCUCAACCUCCACUACAUUUUUAAGGAUCAGAGUCUCUUGGUUUCUCCAUUUUCCUCCUCAUUUCAGCUUGAUACUUCUCACUAGGAACCACUUUCUGUACCAGAACAGUGCACCAGUCAUUAAAAGAACGGGGAAAAACACAACAGAAGGUGUAAGGCUGUGUCUUACUCUUCCCCUACCCCAUUUCUUUUUGUAGAAACAGAGACAUUGCUACCCUGUCUCACAGUAAGCGAGACAUUGGUCUAAUUGCUUUUAAUGACAGAGGGCAAGCAUCCCCCUAGUCAGUCACUGCCUUGAUGGAGAGAGGCCCUCGGUUUUCACAACUGGCAGUUGCCUCUCUCACGCACUAAAUUCACGUGUACGUGUGUGUACGCAUUCAUCAGCAUUUACUCCUUUGCAGUGUCUCAUGAGAAUUAAUAUUAUUCCUCUACACCAACAAAACUUCCAUCGUGCCAUCCACACCACUGCAUACGUACGGCAACCCCGUCUAGAGGAAUGCCUCAUUCCAGGUGUCAGCUGGAAGCUGUUCCACAGAAGAGCUGAGGAGCACUUCAGUAAUUCCUGCUCCAGCUCUGCCAUUUCCAACUACCAGCAGAAGGCACGAAGCCGAUGGCAGCAACAGGUUCCAGGGAGAAUUACAAAACUCUCCCUACACGUGUGAGUACCGAUUGAGUAAUCUAUGCUUGGCUUGCAAACCUGAACUAAUUCAUUGUCCCAAAUCUGUUAAUCUCAACCACGACGCACUUAGCGCGCCAUGGUGCCGCAAUGCAAAUGCUCGGUCGCAGGAAUCAGAGCAAGUAAGUCAUUUGUUUUGCUCAGAAUCAGACUGCCCUGCUUCUGGUGGCCAGCUGCAUAUAAUGGCAAACAUAAAAUCAAUCAGAAGCACAGAAAAGAGCUCUCUCUCAUAUAAAACACAAACUUCUCCCACACUUGAAUCGUGGAACAGAACAUUGCAUUAACACACCCACUUUCCUGUGGCUCCACAAACUUAGAUACCUAUUUUGCAUAUCCUUCAGAGCAGAUGCGUCCACUUUAUUAUUACAUGGAAGUGUAAUUGACGCAUGUAUUUCAUUUUUUCUUAUCAUUUAUUCAUUUGCCUAUAUUUUGGCGUGCAAAGCCUCAUCUUUAAAACCGUGGCAUAAGGAAAGAUCCUAUUUCAGGGAAAACACACUUGUAUUGUACCGGCCGUACGUGCACAGAAGGCACGCGGAAUGGCCACAACAGUUGUCCUUGCCUGGAACCUUCCUGUCCCCGAGCUCCCUACAGAGCAGGUGCAGGAGAGACUCCACCAGUGUGAGCUGCUGGAUGAAUGGCUGCUACAGAACAGCUCAAAGAGAAAGGAAAAGGCUGAAGUGGAUGGAAAAUAAAGCUGUCAGAAAUAUUAGAGGAGACCCUCCUCAAGCUGUCACGAAGCUUACAGUCUCCUCAUCUGGAAACGUGUGCAACUACAAAGGAUGUGCACUCUACAAGCAAUAAAAACUUGUUUGGACAACGCACUUUCCAUUUACAGAAUGUACUGCGUGCGUGCCUUGUGUCCGCUAUGUUCCUGAAGAGGCCAGAAACACACGCAAAGGGUCUGCAAGAAUGACAGCCUUACACUUCUCCGAGAUGCCCAUCACCAGAGCAAGCAUCACGCAAAGUCGAGCUGCUUUAACAGCCUGCACACAUGCACUCUGAAAUCCACUCUAUCUGCAGCCGCCACUCUCCACAAAACGCCAAUGAAGGAGUAAUUGCAUCAUAACGACAAGUAGGAGGUGGCUGCAGUGCUUUGGGCUUGACCUGAAUAUUCUUAUCUGCUGUUAAAUUUCACAAACGGAAACGGCUCUUGCUUUAAAUUCCCACAGUUCGGUCAUGGAUCUGAAAGGAAGUUUUCCUAAUCUGGACUAAACACGCCAUGAAAAAUGCUCCCAGAAGCUCACAGCGCUUCAGCGCAACCAGACAGGAUUGUCUUCUCGUUUCAGGCUUACGUCAGUGCACUGCCUAAACCAGACCUGGAUCUGGAUAGCAGAUCCUGCUCGAUUAAUUAGCCCAUCCCUAAUGUCUUGAAUAAACGUGAGCAUCAGUGAAACUGAAAUUACAAAAGAAAAAGAGUUUACAGGACAGGAGAC